CGGGGAAAGCACGCAGAGCCAGUGACUGCUAAUGGCCUUGGCAUUUGCUGCCAGCGCAUGAGGUCAACUCUGAAGCUAAUUUAAGAGGCAAAGGUGGGAAGGGAAGCGGCCGGCAGGGCCGCACCCGACGCAUUCCUCGGAGCCGCCCGAGGUCGCCGCCCAGCUGCCAGGCUCCGAGCAGCACUGCUGAGUCCUCGGCGCGGGCCUCGCGGAACAGCUGCCUGUCCUGCCCGGAAGCCGGAUGCAGCUGCCACCGCUGCUGUGCCCUGGCCAGGGCAGGCUCUGGGUCAUCCUGCGGCCUUGAGUCAUCAGCUCCCGAAUCCAGGUCCGGAGAGGAUGCAUCUGCUGCGGCUCCAAGGUCCGAGCGCCCAGCAGCAGCAGGAGGGCCGAGAACAAGAGCUGCAAGUGCUUUUAUCACUCAGGGAAACAGAGGGCAGAUUCUACAGCCCUGAGAGCCCACAGACUGAGGGAUCGCAUUUACACACAGGGCAGCAGGUACAAAAACAGACAGAAAUGAGCCCUUGAUGCUGUAAGACAACACAAAGGUCACCAAUGUGUCCAUUUCCAUGUCAAGAAAGAGUUAAAAAACGUAUUAGAGUGUUAAUGGUCAACUCUGAACUGACCAUCAAGGCUGAUUUGAAUGUUUCCACUUCUUUCUGUAACUAUCCAAAUUUUUGCUGGUAUAGAAAAAGCCUUUUUAGAGCAGUCCUGGCCAAUAUCGGGUCUUUCGUUGAAAGAGAAGCGGAUGGCCAUGCUCAGAUGGCUGUCGCUAGCCUGGAGUCCAAGCUCUGCAAGGUGCUAAGCCCUUUACAAAGGCAGGAUCCCGGCACCUCAUCCUGAGAGCGAGGCUGCUGAUAAGCAUGUGCUAAAGCAGUAUAUCCUACCAAAGCAGAAUAGAAAGAGAGAGAAGAGAGUGCACAUGGAGCAGAGAAAGAAGUACAGAAUUCUCAGUUCUUUCACAGAGCCUUGUCAUCUCCUUUCAUCACCGUAGAACCUAAAAAGAAAUGGGGAGACACUUACAAGACAGACAGAAGACCUGGCCUCAUCGGGACUCUUGGUUGGCUCACAUAAUAUGCAAAUGAAGUUACUUGAUUCUUGGAUACCAAAUUUGCACUGGGAGCACUUAACCAUGCUGGAACAUUUGGCCGCCACAGCUCUUCCUGCUCCUCUGGGCUGGAUGGGGCCCCAUGCCAAGGACAAUUCACAGCCAUAAAACAAUUCCCCGAGCCUUGUGGCUAAGCCAAUGCUAUCCACGAACUGGGUUGCUCAUUAAUGAAGAACUCACCUUCUGCAUCCUGGCCCUAUGCUGAAAAUCCCUUUCACAAAGCCACACGGCCACCCCUGGUGAAUAAGGGAAGGGAAGUGACAUUUAAGUGACUGCUCGCAUCUUGUGCUUCCUCGUUCUCACGAAACCUCUGCAGGGCACGUAUUUCCCCACUUCACUGAUGAGAGAACCAGUCCUGAGAAAUGUGGAGCUGCUCUGGGUCAGCGGCCAGCAGACAAACAGCAGGCUGGCUUUCCCAGCAAGCACUUCUGCCCGCCGCACGCCCAGCCCCAGGUCCAGCCCGGACUCACCACUAGGCAGCAGCGAUGCACAGGGCCUUGGCUGCAUCUGGCUGUGCUCACAACUCAAGCUCAUUCCACCUCGUUCUGUUCUUUUUCCAUCAAAGAGAAACCAGAGGACUCUAAAGCAUGAUAUCCACAGUGAAAUUACAUUGUAAAAUCUGGGCAUGGUGGCACACACUUGUAAUCUCAGCACUCAGAAGACUCAGGCAGGAGGAAUGCCACAAGUUCAAGACCAGCCUAGGUUACAAAGUAGCUUGAGGCCAGUCUAAAUUGCUUAAUGAGAGCUGGUCUCAAAAAAAUAAAAAAAUUUUAAAAAUUGUAAAAUCCAGCGUCCUUCAGGUAUGAAGAGCCUUGACCUCACUAGGAUACCCCUGAGCAUUUUGUGCAAAUAUUCUGGCUAUGCCAGGGCCCGGAAUCAUCUCUAGCUAUGAUGCACUAACUCCAGGGUGAAUGUUUAAGAAGUGCAAUUGGAUUAUGACAGGGAAACAUUUCCUUCACAGCCAGCCAGCCAGAUGGAAGCCCAGCUCCGCUGUGUUGAGAUGCUCAGGGCAGGGUGCUGAGGCAGAAGUGGCGAUAAACCAGCGAGAGAGACUGCAGGCCAGGGAGGUGCCCUGAAGCCUCCAUUGACAAAGCAUAAUUUCAAAUUGCCUAAUGUCAUUGACUGAAGGAGGCUGCCAGAAGAAUGAGCCAUUGUGACACACAGCAGAGCUCCCUGUAGCCUCUGGUUCAGUCAUCAGUGGCUUUCACAUGUGACAGGACCAUGCACAGUUAGGUCACAUCCAGUGUGCAGAGCCAUUCACCUGUGUCCUACACUGAGAAGAAGCAUUGCUGAGCCUCUAUCAUGUUAAAACGUCACAGGGCAGCCUCGGGCCAGCAAAAAUGACAGUAUCAUGUUUUUACCUUACACUCCAUACAAAUGCAGACCGCCUAUGGCCUGUGCCAGGCCACAUAUUCAUGUUACUCUGUGUGGGACAAGAUCAGCAGCUUCCUCCAUGUGACAAGGCCAGCGUCACAUGCACCAAGAGUCCUUUCAUCUGCUGGAGCCGCCUCCUAUGGGUACCAAUGAAAAAACUCAAUGGGGCGUUAAAGGGCCCUAAGGAUAAAUGUUAAAAUACAAGUGUGUAAAAAUGGAAAGGUUUUCUUCACCAAAAACCAAAGGACCCUGACAUUAUUUUAAAAUGUGAAGGAGGAGAAGGUACCAUGUGUGUCCUGAGUGAUUUUCUAAGUUCCAAGGCCACACCGACAGCCAGAGUUGUGCAAGACAGAACUGCAAUGAGAUCACUUUCCUACUUGUACUAUUUUUAAAACUUACAAUAUUCAGUGUGGAAAGGCUACAUUGAUAUGGGCUUUCUCAUGCUCAGCAAGUAAAAAUGUAAAUUUUGGUGCGCUCUCCAGAAAGUAAUUCACCAGUGUAUUUCUAAAGUCUUCAAAAUGCUCAUCUUGCCUCUGAAAGUACAAUAGUAUCAGGCAUUUUUCUUCGGCUGAGGUCGAGUUGGUUUAACAAUAUACCCAGAUAAUUCUAAUAGAGUCUCACCCACACUGUGGCUUCAUGACCAUCCCCUAGAGAUCCAUGUUUACCCCAAGUUCUUAUACUGAAGCCCAGUUGCCAGUGCCACGGCCCUUGAGGUGAGGCCUUCAGGAGGUGACCAGGUCCUGAGGACACAGCACUCACAGUACGAAUUCUUCCUAAGUGGGACCAGAGAGCCUCCCUGCCUUUCACCGUGUGUGGUUGCAGGGAGAGCCUCACUCCACCUGUAACCAGGAAAUGGGCCCCAGCAGAUAGUGAGUCCUCGAGUUGAGGCCUUGCUCUUGGGUCUUCAGCCUCCAAAUCUGUGAGACAUAAAUUUCCACUGACUACAUCCUCCAGCGUUGCAGCACCCCACUGGCACAGCAUCGUUAACGGGUGAAGACAGCUCCUUCAGGAAGAGAAUUCUUAACGUCUGUACCCCAGGGUGCACUGGAGGACAGAGAACGGUGAUGGGAAAGAGAAGAGAGCUUUAAGAGAAUGAGCUGAGCCCUCAGUAUCUCUCAGAGGCAACCUGUGAUGCUGAAUUUUCUACUGUAGAUUGUACUUUUCUCCUUAGAUCACACAAUGCAAAAUACAAAAUACACUUAACUCCAUCGUGUUGGGAAUGACACUAAUGGAUUGGUGGCCUCCUCAAGUCAACUGUGGUUGAACCACAUUAAAGAAAUCAUUUAGCCACAGCAACGAUACUCUGAGUCUGAACUGAGAACCCAGCCCACUAAUCAACCUCCAGACCUGAGUCAUAGAGUCCACUUUACUCACUGCUCGCUGGAUAUCAUUUCCUCUUGGACAUCAAACCCAACAGGCCUCAAAUGGAGCUCAUUAUCUUCCCCCACAAACUGUUUUCCUUCAUAAUUUCCCUGCAUGAACCAGUGCUAUAGUCACAACUAAAGCCAUCAGGCUCACAACCUAGGGCUGUCUUUCUCUUUGCUCUUUCUUGCAGUAUCUGGAAGUGGGAAGCAUCUAGAACCUACUCCUUGUCCUACUCACUAAAGUGCUGAGGCACUGACAUCAGAGCAUUGUCCAGGAGUAGCCCAACGUCCCUGGUGUCAGAAGGGGCUAUGCCUUCCAGCCACGCCUCAGACCUACUGAAUCAAGGUUUCAUUGAGGAGUCAGCCUUUUAAAUUAGUCCCUCACUGGAUCUAAAGCCCACUAAAAGAAUCAGUACUCUAAGAGGAAUUAUCUACCUACAGAGAGAUGCACCAUGCAGGAGGAGAGGAGGACACUGCGGAUGAGCAGGGUUCAGAGGGAAAAUCAGAGCACAGAGCAUGCAAAGUUUCAGUACUAAGGAAGCUGCCAUACAGAUACCUCCAUGAGCAGCCCUUGCCAGCACUGUUCAGGAGAGACUCUGUUUCCUCAAAGGACAGGACCAACCAGAACAAGCUUUGCCAGAGAUGAGUUCUGAGAAUCAAAGGACACAGUGGGGAAUAGCAGUAAUGCACACAACGUGGUGGCAUUCCUCAUACUUGGAUCCCAGAAUUUCUGUUUGCCUUUUGUCUUUGUAAUACUGGGAGUUGAACCUAGUGCCUCUGGAGUGCUGGAUAAGCACCAUACCACUAAACUACAUUCUCAGUCCUCAGGGUCCCUGAUUUAGUGAUAUGUCAACUUACUGCAGUUUGACUUAGGACUUUCAAUACCAACAUGGCACGACAGCAUCAGCACUUAAUAAAAAUCAUACUUUAAA